CCAGUAGAACUGUCAGUGUUGACGAACAGCCAGGAUGGCGUAUUGAGAUGCUCAGCACUCUCACGUCCUCUAACCUCCUCCCCAUCCCUGUGUUCGUCAAAGGGCUUUGGCACAGCUCCCUAAGAGGCUAGGACUUGGCAGAGAAUAUGCACACAGUGCCAAGACCUGGUGUCUGACAGGGCUUCACCCCGUGUUGAAGGAAUGGCGACUGUCGCUCUGGAACGCUGGAAUAACUGGGGAGAAACAGACUAGACAGAUGAUCAGGUGCGUGGGGGCUGGGGGCUGGGCAGGGCAAGCUGAGGGCCAAAACU